AUGCACGCUGCUUCACCCCCCUCCUGCUUUACCCCCGCGGGCCGCCAUUCGCUGAGCGCCCAGCCCGCCUCCCCGGCCUCUCACUGCCGGCCCUGCGCAUGUGUUGUAGGAGGGGGAGCGUUACCUAUACAAAUAACACAUUUUAAGAAGUCAAGCCUCAAGGAACUGUUAGGUGGAAAUAUAUACAGUUAUGUCGGUUGCACAGGAAGAAAUGGUCAGAGUAACUUUUCUAUGUCUUGCUAGUAACAAUGCCAAAGCAUUUAAGACUUUCCUCAUCUUGUACUGUGCAAUAAAAUCUUCAGCUUCUCUUAAUGUUGCUUUGAU
rnacentral:lncRNA from 1 species